rnacentral:ncRNA from 1 species
GACAAGAUUGACUUUUUCUUAUAAAUUUGUUUGUUUUUGGCUAUAUAUGUAAGUUUUUGCGGGGUAAAAAAAUCUUAAUGAAUUCCAUUUGGAUUUACAGUUUUUAGUUUUAAUUAUUUUUAGCAAUGAAUAUUUAGUCAAUUAUAUUAGGAUUGUACAAUUUUGUGCCAGCUUACGCGGUUAUACAAUUUAUCCGAAUAAAUUAUUUUGAUUUUCAUUAAUUUUUAUUUUUGGGUUUAUUUUUGAAUUUUUUAGGUAAAAUUUUAAAUUUAAUUAUUUAUUUUGGGUAAUAUAUUAUGAGAAAUUCACUUUUUAGACUAGGAUUAGAUACCCUAUUAUUUUGAAUGUAAUUUUUAAUCAUGGUAAUAUUAGUUAAGUUCUUAAAAUUAAAAUGGUUUGGCGGUAAUUUAGUCCUUUCAGAGGAACCUGUUAUUUAAUCGAUAAUCCACGUUGGAUUUUACUUUGAUUUUUGUUUGUAUAUCUCUGUCAUUGAAUGUUUUUUUAGGAAAUUUUCUUUAAUUAUUAUUUAAUUAAUGUCAGGUCAAGGUGCAGUUAUAUUAAAGGUUUAAUGGGUUAUAUUUAAUUUAUUAAUUGAAUUAUUAUUUUGGAAUAUUUUUAUGAAACAAGAUUUGAAAGUAAUUUUUAUUAUUUUAUAAAAAUGAUUAGGCUCUAAAUUAUGUACAUAUUGCCCGUCACUUUUAUUAUUAAAAUAAAAUAAGUCGUAACAAAGUAAUUUUACUGGAAAGUGAAAUUGGAUGG